rnacentral:lncRNA from 1 species
UCCUCACAACACGCCACCUCUGAAACCCCUCCUCUCCCAAAUCCUCUCUACAACACCCUCAAAACCUAGCUGCCGCCACCCUAAUCCGCUCUAAUGCAUUGCCUUCCAGGGUCAUCGGAGACCUGUAUCAGCCUCCCAUGGCUUCUACAAGUUUGUUUCUGUGGUCUCAUGACCAGAUCAUGAAGGGGCUUGGUCCAGACUUUGCUCGAUGACUAUUCUCCGGUCGUCUCUGAUCUUUCUCCGACCAGCCAUGGCCAUUCGGGUCAGCCUUUGACUCUCCUGCUUAGAUCAAUGGCUCUCAAGGCCUUUCUUGUCACUUGGGGUUCUUCUGAAACCUUAAUCUCUAAGGUUAUUUCGAUUUCUUUCAGAUCUGCUUCAGAUCUGUGUUUGCUUUGAACUUCUAAGCAUUUUUCUCGAAGUUUCUUUUAAAACUUUGCUUUCAAAACUCUUUACCUUUUCCGAUUAUGGUUUUCUUGUUAAGUUCUUUCAAAACUUUUCUUUGAUUUUUGACAUGUUUUGCUAUGUUUGCUCAAAUAGUCCUUCUAUCUAAGUUUUCAUGAUAAAAGCCCUAAUUUCUUUUGGGUUCAUUCGAGUCUCUGAAGCAGUCUGCUAAGUAUUUGUGUAAUCUAUUUGUUCAUCAUCUUUAAACUCGAUUGGUUUCGAAAACCCUAAUUUCUUUGGGGUCUAUUCGGGUUUCUGAAACUGCUUGUGCAAUUCAUUUGUAUGAAAUUGCUCGACUUAAUUUGAAAUUCCUUUGUUUCAGUAUCUCUUUUCUUUAUGUGAUUCCUUUGGUUCUAGGUUCUUACUAUCUUUGAAACUCGACUAUGGUUUUUAGAAGGAUUUUUCACUUAACCCUGUGCAUGCUUCUGAUACUCUAUCUUUUUCUCCACUACUAAGUCAAUGAAACUUGACCUACGUGACUACCGUGUUUCGAAUGUUUGCUAUCUACUAACUUUUGCUAUUAUUGCAUGUUGUUUCCUUUUGAUAAUAGUUUGGCCUCGCAUGUCCAGUGUUUGUGCACUCUAUUUAUAUGUUGAGUUUCCUUCUUUAAUUGACCUUGAAUCGUGUGACUGAUUUCAAACUUUUCUUUUGUUAAAAUUUGAUUUCACUCGCCUGUUAAGGUUAAUUGAUUUCUUUCCUUGUUUUGCCUUACUAAAUCCUUUCCAAAACAAGUAUAUUCCACUUCGACUUAAUCACUUACUCAAUUGUUUUACUACUUCUUUUAUGGCAAUAAUCAGUCUGCCUAUAAAUUGAUUUCUUUCCUUAUUUUGAACCUGUCACUGCCCGUUAAGCAAGUGAUCCCUUAAUUAAAGGCAAUCACUUGCGUAAUUGAUUCUAAAUAGUGAUUGUUUCCAUGUUUGUGGCUUAUUACUUCUCUUUCACUCAUUUUCAAAUAGCUAUAAAUACCCUGUAGUUCUCUUCUUUCAAACACGAACACAAGGCAUAAAAUACUUGAGUUCAGUCACACACUCCACUAAAAUCUCUCUCUUUUCUAUGUUGCUACUUGUAUUGCUGCCUUACCUAGCCGGCUGAAAGCCAAGGUUAGGCUGUGGGAAACCUGCCUAUUUUUCUCUGCAUUUGCAAUUAACUGGUAUGUUCUAAUUAAGCUUCUGCACCAACAACAUGUUUCUUUACUGUCUCUUUCAUCCUUGUUUGUCCCCUGUUUGUAUUUAACCUAGUACCAUUAUUAAACAUGCUUUAAUCUGCCCUUUCCUGUUUUGAAUUAAUGUUUUGUCCACUACUUACUAUAACUUGUGAAUCCUAAAUCCCCACCCCAAUGUGUUUAAUACUUGUGUUUGGUUUGGGGCAUGACAAUAUUGGACAUUGCUGUGCAUGACCAAAAACUGAUUCCCCUGGGAUCAUAACCUCCAUGUUUCUCCCAAAUAUUGUGUGUUCUGAUUGGUUUAUAAGCAUGUCAGCACCUUUUAUUGCUGUGCAUGCCCAAAACUGAUACAUGCCUAAGUGGAUGGGCUCCUUGCAAUGGAUUCCCAACCCUUGACCCUACUUUGUAUGAAGUUAUUAACUCUAUGUGUUAUUGAUUACUGUCUCCCUAUCACCCUUUACCCCUCUCCUUUAUCCCCUCAGAUUUUAAACUUUGUCCCUGCACUUUCACUAUCUUCUAAGAACUUAAGUUCUGCCCUCCUUGUGUGAGCCUUGCCUUGGGACCCAUGAGCUCCCUCUGAACUUGGACACAUAAGGGCUGACACUUCCACACUACACUCAUCUCUAUUCUGGUUAUGUAACUUGGUUGUGAGCACUGCCCGGGGUCCUAUUGAGACCCUUAGGGAACUUUGACACACUCAAGUAUGAGAAAUGCUUUGAAUCAAUGGCAUUUGAGAUGGUUUAUUCUAUAACUCAGAGAGGAAGUCAAGAAUCAGGCUUCCUCUGGUUGUAACUUUUCUUUGAACUUUUAUGGUAUAAUUCAUUAUUUCUGGCCUGUAAUAAUUUGUAAUAAAUAUUUGGGGCUGGCUAGUAAAAAGGGUUGGGUAAUCAUGUAUGCUCAAGGGUAAAAAGCAUGCCUAUAGGACUUUUUCUUUUAUUGUGCGUGUUCAAUUCUACAUUUUAGACACCAUGUCUAUAAGGUUUAUCUUAAUUUCUUCACGAUCAAUUUCACAUCUAGAAAACCCGCAUAUAGGACUUAUUUAUAAUUCUACUUGUUUGUUGUCACUUAGAUAUCAUAUUUUAGGUUCUAAAUGGUAAUAAGUAAGUAUCGUGUUCAUAAGGUUGAAAUCAGUAUAAUACAUAGAAAUCAUGCCUAUAGGGAUUCCCAAGAAAGUCCUGUUCAUUUAUAUUAACAUUCAAUGUUAGAUAUCAUGCCUAUAGGGAUUCCCAAGAAAAUCCUCUUCAUUUCCGUUAAUAUUCAAUGUUAUAUAUCAUGCCUAUAGGGAUUAAAAUCAUCAAAUAUUAGAUACCAUCGCCUACAGAAUCUGAGACUAGCUCAAUUUCAAAUCACUUCGAUUCCGACCCAGUUUUAAACAACUUUCCUUCUUUAUUUAACGAGGUUUAGCAAGCAUGCCUAUAGGAUCCCAGACCAUUCGUUUUAAGUUGUUACUACUUUGCCACACUUUGAAUCAGUAAAUAGAUACCAUGUUCGUAAAAGCUAACCCAAACGCUUAGGCAAGCCUUAGGUAAUAACAACAAUAAAAUUUGAAUCCGCUUUUGUUAGUUUCUACAACCAGCAGGCAGGCCUAAUUCGCACUUGUUAUCUAAGUUAUGUAAUAAACUAAUCUUCCUCAAUAAUUAAACUCCCCUCGUCUUUAGUAUUUUAAUCAUACAUAAAAGGUAUGUGCAUGUCAUGCUAUUUAUUUGUUUUUUUUUGUUUUAGGAGGAAUACAUGGGCCUUUAUCUGUUUAUAUGCUUCCCCAACAUGCAGUAUUAUGUGUUUGUAUGUCGCCUUAGAUUUUUUCCUUUUGAAACCAAAAUUAGCCUAAUAUCCCUCCCUUUUAGGAAUAGUAGUCCUAAGCUCUUCCAGGACUGAUAGAAAUGAGACAGGUAAUAACACGCAAUAGUGAACGAGACCAAUUUGUGCUUUAAAUACCUUAACGGGGUGGGAAGGGUAGAUAUGGAUAUGAUAACUGGUGCCCUAAUACCACGUGUAUCCCCUCUUUUGAGGAGUGUCAUAUCGGGUAUCGCAUUGAUGCGAUCUAUAUUAAAUACAAACCCAGGACCCCUUUACAUUCAUCAACAUGCUUAGUGAUAACACUUUCAAAACUUUGCUUUAUUUUAUCAUUUCUAAACACCUGUGUAUUUAAAAUCCCCUCUUAUGUGAGCCUUGUUUGUUUACUUGUUAAUUGCACAAAUUCACAGUCAACUGUCUGGCCGGGAACCACACUAAUGGAUCUUGAGGGGUUCCUAACACUUUCCUCUUAGGAUAAUUUCAAGCCCUUACCCUAACUCUGGCUAUUCAAACGAACUUAGAAUCAACCCUAUUGGUGUCCUAAUGCACCUUAAUUCAUUAGGUGGCGACUCUUCAAAUUGCAAAACCCAGUUCCCUGAAGGAACGAGUUGUCCCAUACCAAAUGUCAUAAACCUGAUUUUGCGAGAAAAAGGGGGCGCGACACCACCAUGUUUAAACUCACAAGUUUUCUUUGUUUGAAACAGGGAUGAAGACUAUUUCCAAAUCAAAGCUUGGAAGCUUGAAUUUUUCAAGUGGCAUGCCCAAAUUAUCUCAGCACAAAGGCAGUUUGAGAAGUGGAAAGAAAUUUGUUCGAUCUGCAGGAACCCUCUAUGAGGAAAAGCAUGGUUCAGG